GGGCCGGUAGCUCAGCGGUAGAGCACGUGACUUUUAAUCAUGUGGUCGUGGGUUCGAUCCCCACCCGGCUCACCA
rnacentral:tRNA from 5 species